UACGUAGGGUGCGAGCGUUGUCCGGAAUUAUUGGGCGUAAAGGGCUCGUAGGCGGUCUGUCGCGUCGGGAGUGAAAACUCAGGGCUUAACCCUGAGCCUGCUUCCGAUACGGGCAGACUAGAGGUAUGCAGGGGAGAACGGAAUUCCUGGCGUAGCGGUGGAAUGCGCAGAUAUCAGGAGGAACACCGGUGGCGAAGGCGGAUCUCUGGGCCGUAACUGGCGCUGAGGAGCGAAAGCAUGGGGAGCGAACAGG
rnacentral:rRNA from 1 species